UCAGGCAUGUGUGAUAGAGAAAUACGAAUGGGGAGAUAAUGACUUUCAGUAUUACAUGGGAUGUACUCAACCACAGGUGUGUACGUCCAAGCGCUCUGUCGGUGAUCGCACUGAUCGAAAUGUCCCUGUCUGUUCGCACUGUUGCCACUCAGACUUCUGCAAUCUAAACUGCACUUCAGUAGAUCUUGGUCCGGCUUUAGUUGGCUAGACUCAUGGAACCCGAGUUUUGACAUUUCUGCCAUUUACAUUGUACACUGAAGUAUUAUUAAUAAAAUGGUAGCAGGUAAG